GAAAUAGCUCAACAUAGGGUCAGAUGCGGGUGCUUGGAGCAUCCACAUAACAGAGGCGGCUGCGGUCCUGGCCCUCUGAGGUGACUGGGCACUUAGGACACCCAGCCUCACCACCCCAAGGGGGAAUUCCCAGGGACCUCCACAAUGCAGCACCUCCCUGCGAGCAGUUUUCCCUGCCCCCCAGUGGGCAGACGUUGAGUUCCAUCAGUGUGCAACCUUAGCAAACCUCUCUGUCACCCAGUGGCAUGGCCAUCCCGUCUUCAACAAGUCAGCUCUGGAGGUCUGCUGAGAUCUGCUCUUCCAAAUGUGUUCAUAGGAGCCUACGGAAGCAUGAAGCUUGCGUGUAUGCCUCGUCUGGACCCCGUGAGUUCUGCCUGCCUUCUCUGGGUCCCUCAGGACUCGUGGAGGCCACUCCCAAAGCCGGCUGCCUCU
rnacentral:lncRNA from 1 species